rnacentral:rRNA from 1 species
UUUGGUUAAGUUAGAAAGGGCGCACGGUGGAUGCCUUGACACUAGGAGUCGAUGAAGGACGGGACUAACGCCGAUAUGCUUCGGGGAGCUGUAAGUAAGCUUUGAUCCGAAGAUUUCCGAAUGGGGAAACCCACCAUACGUAAUGGUAUGGUAUCCUUAUCUGAAUACAUAGGGUAAGGAAGACAGACCCAGGGAACUGAAACAUCUAAGUACCUGGAGGAAGAGAAAGCAAAUGCGAUUUCCUGAGUAGCGGCGAGCGAAACGGAACAUAGCCCAAACCAAGAGGCUUGCCUCUUGGGGUUGUAGGACAUUCUAUACGGAGUUACAAAGGAACGAGGUAGACGAAGCGACCUGGAAAGGUCCGUCGUAGAGGGUAACAACCCCGUAGUCGAAACUUCGUUCUCUCUUGAAUGUAUCCUGAGUACGGCGGAACACGUGAAAUUCCGUCGGAAUCUGGGAGGACCAUCUCCCAAGGCUAAAUACUCCCUAGUGAUCGAUAGUGAACCAGUACCGUGAGGGAAAGGUGAAAAGCACCCCGGAAGGGGAGUGAAAGAGAUCCUGAAACCGUGUGCCUACAAAUAGUCAGAGCCCGUUAACGGGUGAUGGCGUGCCUUUUGUAGAAUGAACCGGCGAGUUACGAUCCCGUGCGAGGUUAAGCUGAAGAGGCGGAGCCGCAGCGAAAGCGAGUCUGAAUAGGGCGUUUAGUACGUGGUCGUAGACCCGAAACCAGGUGAUCUACCCAUGUCCAGGGUGAAGUUCAGGUAACACUGAAUGGAGGCCCGAACCCACGCACGUUGAAAAGUGCGGGGAUGAGGUGUGGGUAGCGGAGAAAUUCCAAUCGAACCUGGAGAUAGCUGGUUCUCCCCGAAAUAGCUUUAGGGCUAGCCUUAAGUGUAAGAGUCUUGGAGGUAGAGCACUGAUUGGACUAGGGGUCCUCAUCGGAUUACCGAAUUCAGUCAAACUCCGAAUGCCAAUGACUUAUCCUUAGGAGUCAGACUGCGAGUGAUAAGAUCCGUAGUCAAAAGGGAAACAGCCCAGACCGCCAGCUAAGGUCCCAAAGUGUGUAUUAAGUGGAAAAGGAUGUGGAGUUGCUUAGACAACUAGGAUGUUGGCUUAGAAGCAGCCACCAUUUAAAGAGUGCGUAAUAGCUCACUAGUCGAGUGACUCUGCGCCGAAAAUGUACCGGGGCUAAAUACACCACCGAAGCUGCGGAUUGAUACCAAUGGUAUCAGUGGUAGGGGAGCGUUCUAAGGACAGUGAAGUCAGACCGGAAGGACUGGUGGAGUGCUUAGAAGUGAGAAUGCCGGUAUGAGUAGCGAAAGACGGGUGAGAAUCCCGUCCACCGAAUGCCUAAGGUUUCCUGAGGAAGGCUCGUCCGCUCAGGGUUAGUCAGGACCUAAGCCGAGGCCGACAGGCGUAGGCGAUGGACAACAGGUUGAUAUUCCUGUACCACCUCUUUAUCGUUUGAGCAAUGGAGGGACGCAGAAGGAUAGAAGAAGCGUGCGAUUGGUUGUGCACGUCCAAGCAGUUAGGCUGAUAAGUAGGCAAAUCCGCUUAUCGUGAAGGCUGAGCUGUGAUGGGGAAGCUCCUUAUGGAGCGAAGUCUUUGAUUCCCCGCUGCCAAGAAAAGCUUCUAGCGAGAUAAAAGGUGCCUGUACCGCAAACCGACACAGGUAGGCGAGGAGAGAAUCCUAAGGUGUGCGAGAGAACUCUGGUUAAGGAACUCGGCAAAAUGACCCCGUAACUUCGGGAGAAGGGGUGCUUUCUUAACGGAAAGCCGCAGUGAAUAGGCCCAAGCGACUGUUUAGCAAAAACACAGCUCUCUGCGAAGCCGUAAGGCGAAGUAUAGGGGGUGACACCUGCCCGGUGCUGGAAGGUUAAGGAGAGGGGUUAGCGUAAGCGAAGCUCUGAACUGAAGCCCCAGUAAACGGCGGCCGUAACUAUAACGGUCCUAAGGUAGCGAAAUUCCUUGUCGGGUAAGUUCCGACCCGCACGAAAGGUGUAACGAUUUGGGCACUGUCUCAACCAGAGACUCGGUGAAAUUAUAGUACCUGUGAAGAUGCAGGUUACCCGCGACAGGACGGAAAGACCCCGUGGAGCUUUACUGUAGCCUGAUAUUGAAUUUUGGUACAGUUUGUACAGGAUAGGCGGGAGCCAUUGAAACCGGAGCGCUAGCUUCGGUGGAGGCGCUGGUGGGAUACCGCCCUGACUGUAUUGAAAUUCUAACCUACGGGUCUUAUCGACCCGGGAGACAGUGUCAGGUGGGCAGUUUGACUGGGGCGGUCGCCUCCUAAAGUGUAACGGAGGCGCCCAAAGGUUCCCUCAGAAUGGUUGGAAAUCAUUCGUAGAGUGCAAAGGCAUAAGGGAGCUUGACUGCGAGACCUACAAGUCGAGCAGGGACGAAAGUCGGGCUUAGUGAUCCGGUGGUUCCGCAUGGAAGGGCCAUCGCUCAACGGAUAAAAGCUACCCCGGGGAUAACAGGCUUAUCUCCCCCAAGAGUCCACAUCGACGGGGAGGUUUGGCACCUCGAUGUCGGCUCAUCGCAUCCUGGGGCUGUAGUCGGUCCCAAGGGUUGGGCUGUUCGCCCAUUAAAGCGGUACGCGAGCUGGGUUCAGAACGUCGUGAGACAGUUCGGUCCCUAUCCGUCGUGGGCGUAGGAAAUUUGAGAGGAGCUGUCCUUAGUACGAGAGGACCGGGAUGGACGCACCGCUGGUGUACCAGUUGUUCUGCCAAGGGCAUAGCUGGGUAGCUAUGUGCGGAAGGGAUAAGUGCUGAAAGCAUCUAAGCAUGAAGCCCCCCUCAAGAUGAGAUUUCCCAUAGCGUAAGCUAGUAAGAUCCCUGAAAGAUGAUCAGGUUGAUAGGUUCGAGGUGGAAGCAUGGUGACAUG